CCGGAUUUGUACCCAAUGUGCUCCAGCCUUCCUGAGCAAAAUCAACCUUCAUGAGCGGAUGCCAGCUGAAGGCUUGUCCUUAACCCGUCAUCCAGCAAAUCAUUAAAAGAGGUUGUCAAAGACAAUACAGAUUUCCUCCAAGUCGUUUGCUGGAUUAAAAACAAUUCAGGGGACCAUGAGGAAGCCAGAGUGGAAGGCCAGAACACAGCAUGUUAGUGAUUCCAGGUCCAAGCCUUUCCUGAGUCCAAGAAACCAUGAAGCUCACAAUUCAGCAUGUCAAUUCUCUACAUCAACUGAAAUAACUGGUGAUGUUGGUACUAAUUUAAUUGGUGCCUGCACCAGCCCAGCGACCCUUGAACACUCAGAAUUUCCAAACAGAGAAUUC
rnacentral:lncRNA from 1 species